rnacentral:rRNA from 1 species
GACGAACGCUGGCGGCGUGCUUAACACAUGCAAGUCGAACGAAGUGGCGAACGGGUGAGUAACGCGUAAUCAACCUGCCCUUCAGAGGGGGAUAACAGUUGGAAACGACUGCUAAUACCGCAUACUGAAGGAGGGGAUUGCGUCUGAUUAGCUAGUUGGAGGGGUAACGGCCCACCAAGGGGAUGAUCAGUAGCCGGUCUGGGAGGGUGGACGGCCACAUUGGGACUGGGAAACGGGCCAAGCUCCUACGGGGGGGAACAAUGGGGAAACUUCCGCAAUGGACGGAAGUCUGACUGAGCAACGCCGCGGGAGUGAUGACGGCCUUCGGGUUGUAAAGCUCUGUUAGUCGGGAAGCGGUACCGGAAGAGAAAGCCACGGCUAACUACGUGCCAGCAGCCGCGGUAAUUC